rnacentral:tRNA from 1 species
ACCUGGCUGGCUCAGUUGAUAGAGCAUGCGACUCUUGAUCUCAGGGUUAUGAGUUUGAACCCCAUGUUGGGCA